CAUUUGUUUCUCUCUCAACAGCGGCCAAAGAGUUGCUGGUUCUGCAUCUUUUUAUGGGGCCAAGCCAUACAAUCUCAAUGUUGUGCCCCCAACAGAAACCACUAUUCUGGGAAACCCAUUGCAGGGAAGCUUACCAAGUGGGAAUUUGAACUCGGUUUCAGACAAGGGCCAAGUUGCUAGCACAUUUUCUGGUCAUACUACAAAGGAUUAGAACUUUGCAGCGGUUGCACCUAACUUUGUGGAUGCCCAGAGAAAGCAACAUGUGCUCCAGCAAGCUCCGCAGUCUGCUUCUUCUGGAAAUCUGCUGCUUGUUUAUUCUAAACUCAGUUGUUUUCCCAACGCUACAAUGGAUUUUGCUUGAUGAAUGCCAAAACUUUGGUUCAAAAGAUCUUUGCCCCCUUGGUGGGAUUGCAAAAAUAUAUUUCAUGAUCUUUUGGUUUUACCCACUAUACGUUUUCAGCUAUGUGUUAAGCAGCAUCUGGUAUUGAUUGCUUCUUUUAUCCACUGUUUCAUGCCAUGUAGCAAAUUUUUUGCAGUUAAUGUUUCUGUAAUAUUAUCAUAUCACUAUUUUGGUAUCAAUCCUCACUUGUGAAAUUGUUCUUGAUGUAUUGUUUAAUUGGAAUAUUGCUAUGUUGUUGCAAGUUGUAACUCAGCUGAUACAUGAACCUCUUUCCAACUUGUAACCAAACUUUUAACUACCGCAGAAUUGGUUAUGUGCAUUGGCUUAUUUCUUAGCCAGUUUUUUUGGGCAAUUAAAUUCUCAUAAAAAAGAAAAAUAUAUGCCCAUCCAUUUUUCUAAUAGUCCAAGGUAAGUUGCAUGUAAUUAUCAGAAACAAAGAUGAUACA